UAAUGGAACUUUCUCGGAUCCCUCCGCCGAGCCCUCUCCCCUGGGUGGGCGUACGGACACGCGGUCCAGUCAUGCGACCUGCCACGAGCACACCUCCUCACCUUAAACUCGUACAUACGGAAAUGGUCGCACGAGAAUGCAUCGAUGAUGUGUACGUCGGAGUCGUCGCUAAGGGUGUCGAGCUCCAGAUCGUUCGAGGGGAGGUAACGGCGGAGCGCCGCAAGGUAUUCGACGGGACAAGGGCUGCAGGGUGCAUUGCAGUUAAAGCCGACGGCCGGAAAGUUAUCCGCCGAAUCAUUUAACGUUUCCCAGUCGGGGAUAUUGACGGUGG
rnacentral:lncRNA from 1 species